AGUCGAGCGGAAACGAUGGUAGCUUGCUACCAGGCGUCGAGCGGCGGACGGGUGAGUAAUACUUAGGAAUCUACCUAGUAGUGGGGGAUAGCUCGGGGAAACUCGAAUUAAUACCGCAUACGACCUACGGGAGAAAGGGGGCAGUUUACUGCUCUCGCUAUUAGAUGAGCCUAAGUCGGAUUAGCUAGAUGGUGGGGUAAAGGCCUACCAUGGCGACGAUCUGUAGCUGGUCUGAGAGGAUGAUCAGCCACACCGGGACUGAGACACGGCCCGGACUCCUACGGGAGGCAGCAGUGGGGAAUAUUGGACAAUGGGGGAAACCCUGAUCCAGCCAUGCCGCGUGUGUGAAGAAGGCCUUUUGGUUGUAAAGCACUUUAAGCAGUGAAGAAGACUCCGUGGUUAAUACCCACGGACGAUGACAUUAGCUGCAGAAUAAGCACCGGCUAACUCUGUGCCAGCAGCCGCGGUAAUACAGAGGGUGCAAGCGUUAAUCGGAAUUACUGGGCGUAAAGGGAGCGUAGGUGGCUCGAUAAGUCAGAUGUGAAAUCCCCGGGCUCAACCUGGGAACUGCAUCUGAUACUGUUGAGCUAGAGUAUGUGAGAGGAAGGUAGAAUUCCAGGUGUAGCGGUGAAAUGCGUAGAGAUCUGGAGGAAUACCGAUGGCGAAGGCAGCCUUCUGGCAUAAUACUGACACUGAGGCUCGAAAGCGUGGGUAGCAAACAGGAUUAGAUACCCUGGUAGUCCACGCCGUAAACGAUGUCUACUAGUCGUUGGGUCCCUUGAGGACUUAGUGACGCAGCUAACGCAAUAAGUAGACCGCCUGGGGAGUACGGCCGCAAGGUUAAAACUCAAAUGAAUUGACGGGGGCCCGCACAAGCGGUGGAGCAUGUGGUUUAAUUCGAUGCAACGCGAAGAACCUUACCUGGUCUUGACAUAUCUAGAAUCCUGCAGAGAUGCGGGAGUGCCUUCGGGAAUUAGAAUACAGGUGCUGCAUGGCUGUCGUCAGCUCGUGUCGUGAGAUGUUGGGUUAAGUCCCGCAACGAGCGCAACCCUUGUCCUUAGUUACCAGCGGGUUAAGCCGGGAACUCUAAGGAUACUGCCAGUGACAAACUGGAGGAAGGCGGGGACGACGUCAAGUCAUCAUGGCCCUUACGACCAGGGCUACACACGUGCUACAAUGGUAGGUACAGAGGGCAGCUACACAGCGAUGUGAUGCGAAUCUCAAAAAGCCUAUCGUAGUCCAGAUUGGAGUCUGCAACUCGACUCCAUGAAGUAGGAAUCGCUAGUAAUCGCGGAUCAGAAUGCCGCGGUGAAUACGUUCCCGGGCCUUGUACACACCGCCCGUCACACCAUGGGAGUUGAUUGCACCAGAAGUGGAUAGCUUAACCUU
rnacentral:rRNA from 1 species